rnacentral:rRNA from 1 species
GUAAGGACGCGUAGGCGGGAUGCCAAGUCUGAUGUGAAAUCCUAUGGCUUAACCAUAGAACUGCAUUGGAAACUGGUAACCUAGAGUAUGGGAGGGGGAGAUGGAAUUAGUGGUGUAGGGGUAAAAUCCGUAGAUAUCACUAGGAAUACCGAAAGCGAAGGCGAUCUCCUGGAACAAUACUGACGCUAAGGCGUGAAAGCGUGGGGAGCAAACGGGAUUAGAUACCCCGGUAGUCCACGCCCUAAACGAUGAACACUAGUCGUCGGAAUGCUAGUCAUUUCGGUGAUGCACUUAACAGAUUAAGUGUUCCGCCUGGGGAGUACGGUCGCAAGAUUAAAACUCAAAGGAAUAGACGGGGACCCGCACAAGUGGUGGAGCAUGUGGUUUAAUUCGAAGAUACGCGAAGAACCUUACCUAGCCUUGACAUUGAUUGAAUACCCUAGAGAUAGAGUAGUGCCCUUCGGGGAGCAUGAAAACAGGUGCUGCACGGCUGUCGUCAGCUCGUGUCGUGAGAUGUUGGGUUAAGUCCCGCAACGAGCGCAACCCUCGUCCUUAGUUGCCAGCAGGUUAAGCUGGGCACUCUAAGGAGACUGCCUUCGCAAGGAGGAGGAAGGUGAGGACGACGUCAAGUCAUCAUGGCCCUUAUGGCUAGGGCUACACACGUGCUACAAUGGGGCGUACAGAGUGUUGCGAUACCGCGAGGUGGAGCUAAUCACUUAAAGCGUCUCUCAGUUCGGAUAGGAGUCUGCAACUCGACUCCUUGAAGCUGGAAUCACUAGUAAUCGUAGAUCAGCAAUGCUACGGUGAAUACGUU